UAAUCAUUACUCUUUAUGAUUUAAUCUUUAAUUAUUUAUCUUAAAUGUGCCUAAAAAUUUUAACACGUGUUCAUUUUAUAUCCGAAUAAGAGCUAUGAUUUUUUAAAAAUUAUUUUUAAGCAGGUUCAAAUGAUCCUAGUAUUGUUGGUUUGGAGAUGUUCACCCCAUGUGGACAGAGACAGUAUGUUGAGACUAGUGUCACCUCCAAGGAGCAAAGUCUCUGGGGCCCUUUCUCCGGUUCUGCUGUCUGGGACUGCAUUAUCCUGAAUCAGGUCCUCAUAUUUUGCUGUUCCUCCUCCUCAUUUUUUUCUUCCAGUUCCAAAGCAUCCUUUCCAUGACAGGCUAAAGGUCAUUUCUCCUGGAAGCCUUCUGGAUCCCCAACGCAUUGGAUUGAAUGGUCUUAUUCUGUGCUUCCCUUGACGGUACACUGAGUCACAGCAUACACCCCAUGCUUUGUUACAGCGCAUUUAAAUAGUCAAAUAUGCAAAAGAACGGAUCCUGAUGUGAGAGACUUCACAGCACCUUCUAACCACCCAUUCUGGUGCCCAACUUCCAUGAGAAAACUUCUCGGUGAGGUACAGAGUCCAGAAAACUAAGAACACAGGGUUGAACCUGUCACUGCAAACAAAUGCUUUGAAGAAUUGACUCACACCACUGCCUUGCACAGGCCAUGUCGGAGGAUGUGGUUGUGCUGGUGUACCUCGCCUGCCGCCCUGAGCCAUUUUUUCACCCUUCUCUGCCUCGCUCUGUGUCCAGGAAGCUGACCCCUCCGUCUUCCAGCCCCUUCUGCGCUGUUGGCUGGUUUCUAACUUACAUCAGCCAACGGGAAGCACCGGUAGGAGAGUGGCGGGGGUAGGUGGACCUGGCGGGCUGGGAUGUUUCUUGCCUGUCCCUCCCGGAUCUGGAACCUCAGACCUGACAGUGGCACGUUCUUCUGUGACAAUAGCGACCCCUGGAGCAACAGCCCCCUCCUCCACUGGGUUCCGUCCUUUCCUUCUGCCUGUUCAGGCCUAGAUGAGUCUGUAUCCAUUGUUUGUAUCCCUUGGGUGCCUCAACAUCUUAAGGUACCCUUAAUCCUGCCCACCUCCCUCUAAAUUGUCCCUUCACUAAAAGCUCUUCCAUAGAGUAGAAUCUUGGUACCUGAUUGAUAUGUUGGUCAAACUUGGUCCAGCAUUCUAAACCAAGGGCCAGGACUUCCCUGAUGGCACACUGGAUAAGAAUCCGUGGGCCCAUGCAGGGGACACAGGUUCGAUCCCUGGUCACGGAAGAUCCCACUUACCGCAGAGCAGCUAAGCUCAAGUGCCACAAUUACUGAGCCCGAGCUCUAGAGCCCUUGAGCGGCAACUACUGAGGCCCUCAUGCUGCAACUACUGAAGCCCACGCACCUGGAGCCUGUGCUCUGCAACAAGAGAAGUCACCGCAAUGGGAAGCCCACCCAAUGCAAUGAAGAGCGGCCCCCACUCACCACGACUAGAGAAAGUACUCACCAAGCAGUGAAGA